CACGUAGGGGGCGAGCGUUGUCCGGAUUUAUUGGGCGUAAAGAGCUCGUAGGCGGCUCGGUAAGUCGGGUGUGAAACCCCCAGGCUCAACCUGGGGACGCCACUCGAUACUGCUGUGGCUAGAGUCCAGUAGAGGAGUGUGGAAUUCCCGGUGUAGCGGUGAAAUGCGCAGAUAUCGGGAGGAACACCAACGGCGAAGGCAGCACUCUGGGCUGGAACUGACGCUGAGGAGCGAAAGCGUGGGUAGCAAACAGG
rnacentral:rRNA from 1 species